rnacentral:rRNA from 1 species
GAUAAACGCUGGCGGCGUGCCUUAUGCAUGCAAGUCGAACGUGAAGCCGACUUCGGUUGGUGGAAAGUGGCGAACGGGUGAGUAACACGUAGGAACCUGCCCGGAAGUGGGGGAUAACUCCGCGAAAGCGGGGCUAAUACCGCAUGUGGUCGAAAGAUUAAAGCUUCGGCGCUUCCGGAGGGGCCUGCGGCGGAUUAGCUAGUUGGUGGGGUAACGGCCUACCAAGGCGACGAUCCGUAGCUGGCUGAGAGGAUGGUCAGCCACACUGGAACUGAGACACGGUCCAGACUCCUACGGGAGGCAGCAGCAAGGAAUUUUUGCGCAAUGGGCGAAAGCCUGACGCAGCAACGCCGCGUGGGGGAAGAAGGCCUUCGGUUGUU